UACGAGGGGGGCGAGCGUUGUUCGGAAUUAUUGGGCGUAAAGGGUGCGUAGGCGGGUCUUUAAGUCAGGGGUGAAAUCCUGGAGCUCAACUCCAGAACUGCCUUUGAUACUGAGGAUCUUGAGUUCGGGAGAGGUGAGUGGAACUGCGAGUGUAGAGGUGAAAUUCGUAGAUAUUCGCAAGAACACCAGUGGCGAAGGCGGCUCACUGGCCCAAUACUGACGCUGAGGCACGAAAGCGUGGGGAGCAAACAGG
rnacentral:rRNA from 1 species